rnacentral:piRNA from 1 species
CUGUAAGAAUUUGGUGCAUCA